GAAACCCAGUUGUCCUAAUCAUAUUAUCAUGUCUUCGUUCUUUGCUCCCUCACGACUGAUGAUGAGGAAUGGGGCUUCAUUUGCAUUGUGAUUAUAUUCAACAUGCUUAGGUACUUUAGAACAACGUUUGAGAAUGAAGUUGAGCUCGUUUUGGAUUCUGUUUGCAAAAUAUACUAGAAUUUUCAGGCAACUGUUAAUUGCAUUUUCGAGUGUCGAUCCAAAAGAUGGAUGAAAUUGGAAUCUUGCAAAAAUUCUGAGCUUCUCUUGUGUAUUAUUGUUCAGCGAUUUACACUUCUACGGUUACCCUUUCGAUUUUCUAUUCUUGUUUUUAUUGAAUUUUCCAUGUGUGUUCGAUUUUUUUGCUGGUGUUUAACGUUAACAAAUUUUAACUCGAAUUCUUUCGAUUUUCUUUGUUUUUUGUUCAAAAAUCCCAUGUGUGCUCGAUUUUGUCGUUGCGUUUAAGGUUAAGCAAAUUUGUUUGAGAUAUUUUGUUUUUCUUCAUUUUUUGUCUUCUCGUCUAUAUGUUUGUUCUAUUUCUUCUACUUUUAUUUCUAUUUGCUUGAUUACAUUUUUGCGUUUAGGUUUUACCAAUUUCGAGUGACAUUUUUUGUUACAUUCAGUUCUGGCCUCUUAUUUCUUGUGUGUUCUGCUUUGGUUACUUUUAAUUGGGCUCUAUUGUAGCUAAUUUUUUUACAAGGUCAGCAAAAAUUAGAAAUAGGAAACGACGUUGGUUUCUUUUUUGUAGUUUAAUAUGGUCUUUUCCUUGAUCUAUCUUCAUAACUAAAACUAUGUAUAUGAAGGUUUGCAUAUGCCUUCUUGCUAUUUGUAGUGGAAGUUUGCUGUCUUUCUCUGUAUUUUACUGAUCUUAACAUUCAUGGAGGCUUCAAUGUAGGGCUUUUUUGUUUACCAUUAUUUUGAGCUUUGAUGUGUGUCUAGGAUUUUACUUUGCCUAUAUUGUAUAUCAGGACUUUAAUAUCCAUUUGGGCCUGUCGAAUCUUACUUGCAUUCAUUUGUUUGGCUUGAAGUUUCACUAUUGAACAUCACUUAGAACUUUCUCGCUUACAAUUUAAAGUGGAAGCUGGUAAUUUGGUUGAUAGUAUGUGGCUUAACAUAUCUUGAUAGUCUUUGUCAAGCUAUAGAAAUUUGAAACUGGGUUAAGUAGAAAUUAUUGGAUAGUCUGAUAAAUCGAUGAAAUUUUAUUAGAGCAAUUUCAUUUUUCCAUUUAGGGUACUAAUAUGAUAUAAGUUCUUUAUUUAGAACUUCUGUAAGGCCUUUAUACACUUCUCUUUUGUUGUACGAAAUGAUGAUACUAAAAAUAAUGGAGAUUUUUUUGAAGUUCACUUUAUCAUUUAAAAUGUUAUUAUUAUAUUUUGUAUUUUCCUUUAUCGUUUUGCCAAGUAACCCUUCAUAAUAGAAAAAUUUUCAUUCUUCCUCUACCCUUACGCACGUUCAACACUUUUCUCAGUUUACCAUUUAACUAUUUUGCAGUUUAGGUAUUCCAAAGAAGAAGGGAUUCCCGUGGGAGAAUUUCAAAAUCGGAAUUUCACAUAACUUCUGAGGUGAUUGUCUUUCAUUUUAUAUACUCUUUUCGUCAAAUUUGUUACAAAGUUAUGUCUUUUACAGUUAGACUAUUUAUAUUGGAUAUAAACAUAUUUCCUUUGCAUCUCAUCUCUGGAGUGUCUAUUUUUUUUCUUUGUUUCUGUGUUUAUAAUUUUGUGUUUGAGUUAUUCUGAAAUGAAGAAGCCAAAAAAUCAAACACAUAUAAUGUAUUUGUGACCUUAAGUAUGUUGAUUUCAUAUUAUAUUUACUGCUAAUUACUUUGUCAUGUCGGUUCGAUUUGCAUUUCUCUUUGUUCAGAUUUGGUUUAUUUUUUCGACUUAAUAUCAACCCGUCUGAUGAAUUAUUAUCAGUCAUUUGUCAAAAUCAAUUUCCUUCACUCUGUUAAGAAUAAUUAAAUUGAGUAAAAUAAACUAGUUAGCCAAUGAGGUUUAAAAGUUUGUAUCAAGGAAAAUAUUCUCAAAUCUUUUUUGUGAAACUUAUAGAAAUAUACCUCCAUUCGUGUUGUCUACUCCAUUAAGGAAGUAGCUUGGAAUUACAAAAUGGUAAAAAGAAAAAGAAAUUAUGUUUUUAUGAUCAAAGUGCUAUGAUUGCUUUGUAGGUGCGUCUAUUUUAUACUAUUGAAUCUAUAACUUAUGAAAAGAUUUAGGUCAUUACAUGAACAUAUCUAUGGUGGGAUGUUGAAUUCAUCAAAGAUAUUUUCGAGAAGUAUUGAUCUAUAGUUGAUUUAACUAUUCUUGUUUAAAGAUCAUAAGGCAUUUGAGAGCAUAAGGGUUAAGUAAUACAUUUAGGUGCCUACCAAAUUCUAUUGGAUGACUAUUUUUCAUAUGGAGGUUAGAUUGUGCAUAUGAAUAUGCAAUUAUCAUCUUAAUAUUUUAUGGGUCCAUGUUUUACCCUUCAAAAGGAAAAUAUUGUUGUAUUUUUUCUGAGGAAUUGAUGAAUUUUUUAUUUAUUUAUUUUUUUGUUUUAUAUGAUUGAAACAUCUAGGAUCCUGAAACAAAAAAAAAGCCUCGAGUGAAGAUUUACGUUGACAAAGAAAUUGGAAGGAAAAAGGGAGAUGCACUUGUAACAUAUCUGAAGGUAAUGCUUUUUGCUCAAAGUGCUUGGAGUAACAUGUAUCGUUGGAAUGUUUUCAUCUUUGAUUGUUUUGUCUUCAAUGAUGUUAUUGUGGAUUGAGGUCAUUGUUGUUGUGUUAUUAUUGUUGUUAUUAUUAAUAUUAUUGUUAUUUUACUAGGCAUUAGGAACCUUCAGUGGACCUGUCCAUCCAAAUAACGGAUGGAGCUCCUCUAAGGCCUGGUGGCUAGAUCCCAAUGUCAGUUACAAAAGCUAAGUUUGCGCAAAAAGGUAACGUGUGGAAUGCAUUGUUCAUUUUCUGCAUUUGUUUCUGGAUAUUAAUUCCAUUGCCUAUGUUCAUUUCGUUGUACGAAUUGAAUAUUUUAAAAUUUAACUUCUCUUUUGGUGUUAAUUAACCUCCAGGGGAUAAAUUCAUGUAAAACAAGUGGACAAGAAUAAGAAGAAACUUUAGAAGAUUGAAAGGAAAAUGUUACGUUGGGUGAGUCCUUUUCUCACAAAAGAUUAAAUUUUUAUUAUGUAGGGUUUGAUCCCCAAUAUGAAAAUAUAGGUAUGUUGAUUUGAGUUUUAAGUGUUCAUUCUAUUUUUGAUUUCAUUAAUACAAUUUUCUAAAAGGUCAAGUUAAAUUGGAUUCUUUUUUGUUUUAUUUUUUGUCCAUACAUUGUAAAAAAAGGUGAAACAAAACCCUUGGUAAAUUCAAUCGACGAUUAUAGCUGUGUCUUCAUCCUAUUGCGAUUUUGCGGCGGCUUUUUGUAUAUGUUGCUGUGAUUUGCUCAUUUGCAGUAGCCUUUGUACAUCUUGCUGCAAAUUCUGAUGGUUAUAUCUUUAAAUUGUGAAGUAUGUCUAUUUAGAAUUUUCCUCCAGUCUAUAAUUUUUUUUCAAAAAAUUUUAGUACAAAUAAAUUCAGAAGGCUGAGAUAUAAUCCUAAAACCUUCAUUCUUGAGUAUCUUUCUUCCACUAUCUUCAACCUUAUUGCUUUUCUAUUUGAUUUAUUUAGUGGGAAUUUUGAGAGAUCCUUUUUGUUUUCUUUCAACCUUAUUGCUUCGUUUCAGACGCUUCUCAAGUAUUGUCAAGCAGAAAUUUUGACGAUUGGGAUUACUGUUCCUGGGUCAAGUUUCUUGCGAUUUAGGUUCUCGGGUGGUGGAAUUUAAUAUUGUUGGUGAGGUCAUUCUUCUUCUUCUACUAGAAUUUAUAGAUUUCUAUUCUAUGGGUUUCAAAUUAGAAGGUUUUUUUUGUUUGGGUAAAAAUGAGGGUGUUUUGGUGACAGAUUUUUAAGAUUAUUCCUAUUCAUGUUAGCAUUCGUAUAAGUCACCGUUUGUUUCCGGUACAAAGUUUAUGGCCCUGCAGAAAUAAAAGGUAGCGAUAUUGAUUGGAUGGAGUUAACUUUGCAAUAAAAAAAUCCAAGCAAAUAGAAUUUGGCCAAUUUGGAAAACCAGCAUCCAUUUAAUCAUCACUUACGUAAAAAAAGUUCGGCACUUAAUAAAACAUUUUACAAUAAUUUUUGCUCUAAAAGAUGUAUCAAAUAAAUGAUUUUAUAUGUAACAAGCUACCAAGAAAUGUCACUGUAAACAUAAACAUAGAUUAAUUGUAAAGAUUUCAUCAACUUAGUUGAAUGAGCAUGUAUUGAGAAGACAGGAGAAGACAGAAGAAGAAAUCUAGGAAAUAGAUGUCAUGAUCCUUAUGCAAGCAUGCUUGUAUUCAAGCUAGAAAAAGCCAUCGAAUAUAUUAAAAAAAAAACAAAAACUUAGGGCUUGUUUGAGCCCCAUUGUUUUCAAAAAUGCAUUUUGAAAUAGUAUUAUGAUAGAAAGUGUGUGGUUAAAAAAUAAGAAAAAGAUUUAGAUUUUCAUGUAAUAUUAUUAAAAAAUAUGUGGUUGAUAUAGAGUCAAAUAACUAUUGAAGAAUGUAUUUUGAUAGAAAAAUGGGGAUUAAACACAAGCUUACUUUAUUAUUUUAAAAUAAGCAUGCAGGAUACAAAUGCGCAUUAUGUUGAUAGACGGCAUGUUCAAUAGGAUUUUGAACUCAAUCCUAUACCAGGAAACUAAGAAUUUGUAAUGUGCUACAGAUUGCGGAAUUUUAGGAUAAUGAAAGAUGGAUUGAUAAAUUGUUUUCGCUGGCUAUAUGUUGGCUAGAUUUCCUUUUACACGCAUAUAAAGUGUCACCUCCAAAUCCACAUAUGCAGAAUCCUCCCUACUUAAUCUGUGCAUAUACACUUUGUUACUUAGACUUGGCCGGAAGUGUCGGAUAAAAUCAAUUGUUGAACAUGGGUACUCUUUUUCUUCUUUGGGUUUUCAAAAUCAUUCUGUAAAUUAUUCAUGAUCUCUCUUUCUUAGUUUCAAGCUAGCUUGAUGAUGAUGAAUGAAAGUACCCGAUGAUUGGAAGUCGGUAAGAAAUUCCUCUUUCAUACCUUCAAAUAGGCAUGUUUUUAUUUGGAUACAUUGAUAUAUUUUCAUAUAGACAAACACAUAAAGCACAAAGGGAAUAUAAAGAACAAAGAGAAAUUCUACCCACAACUAAAGGAAACUUUUGCACAAACAUCUAGAUACAUGAACGAUAUGGUUCUCUGACAUUUGUGUACGUUGGCAUAAAUAUGAAUGUCAUCAAGGCAAUUACUCAAAUAUUUAUGUGCUAAUUAUCAUUAGUGCAUUUGUUCAUAUUCUGUUAAUAUUUGAUUGCACUGGCAUUGAGGAUUUGUUUCUCAAUUAAGUUAAUCAGAAUGAGGAUAUAUAAUACCUUGUUCUUAAUCAUGAUGCCGCCUAAAUUUUUAACCGGAAAUGGUGAGAGUUAGUGUCUUCAAUAACGCUCUUAAGAGCAUGUACAAUGCAGAGAAGCUAGGGAAGUGUCAGGUCAUGAUUCAACCAUCCUCCAAAGUCAUUAUUAAGUUUCUCUUCAUGAUGCAAAAGCAUGGUAUACAAAACAUUGUGUGGUGUUAAUUUGUUGUCUAUUUACGCAUGCAAUAUUCUAUCUAUACACUUAAUUCUUUAUCAUGUCUGUAGGAUACAUUGGAGAGUUUAAGUACAUCAAUGAUCACUGAUCUGGUAAAAUUGUGGUUGAACAAAUGUAGAGUCAUCAGCCCUGACUUUGACGUUGCUAUCCAGGAAAUUGAGGAAUGGAAUGCAAGGUUGCUUCCCUUCUGGCAGGUAAUAUAUAAAAAAACAUUGUACAUUAACAUUUGGAUGAUGAUCACUUGGUGAAUAUUGAGCUAUCAACCUGGCCAUAUGAUAAUAUAUAUGUUUUGCACAUGCACCUUUUAUUUCAUGGAAUAGUAUUAUCAAGGAGACUCUAUCUCUUAUUCAAACUUUUAUUAAGGUAUCUUCAAUUAGCAUGUCAAUCGGAUAUCUCCAUUCUUAAAUAGCUUCACAUCUUCCUAUCGUAAAAUGUGAUUAUUAUGUUUGGUUGUACCCUCAUUUCAUUCGUCUUUUCCCCAGUAGGUCGAGCAAAUUGUACUUUGUAUAGUAAUUAGACUUCAAAAAAAAUAUUAUCCUGCCUCAUCAGAUGUACAAUGGUAUGCUGCCAAUCCCAAGAGAAUGCUAAUUGCUGAAGUCCACAAAAUUAAAUUUCAUUUUUCUUACUUUCCUUCCUUCAAUAAAUAUCUUCUUUCAAUUGUUUUAAGCUCAUUUUACUUUUCAGUUUUGGAUACAUUUGUUGGCAUCAUGGAGCAUGAAGAGGCUAGGAGAAAGAAGGUUGAGGGGGAAAGUGUGCAAUCCCUGUGCAAACUAGUUUCUGAUGUAAUGUAAGUGAUCCCUACUUGAAUCAACAUAGUACUUAAAAGAAUUGAGGAAGUGUGUUCCAUGCACUGGUUGCUUGGAGCUUAAUCUUGAUUCUUUAAAUGCUAACUCUUCGUUUCUCGUUCCAUGCACUGGUUGCUUGGAGCUUAAUCUUGAUUCUUUAAAUGCUAACUCUUCGUUUCUCGUCUAAGCAUUUUAUCAAAUAGCUUGUGCGGGAUGAAGAAAUUAAUUUGACAAAGUGGCACUUAGAUGAUUGCUUUUAUUACCUUGACAAUUUUUCCAAGAUUACAACUUUUGUUGCAAGUCUUCAAGGUUAUUAAGUUCCAUUUGCCAUGUAAUAAAAACUAGGUUGUGUCGAAAUUAUUUCCUACUUAUAUGAUGUUUCACAAAAAAGUUGAGUAUCGAAUAAUUCUUAACUUUGUAGAAACGAGUACAUAAAAAAUGUUAUUUAAGAAGUCCCCUAAAAAAAAGGUGAAAAAAAAUCUAUUUCUAGAAACACUAAAAUUACCUUCGAAAUGACAAAGCUCGUGCAUGGCACGGGCAAUAAACUAGUAUAAAUAGAAGGGUGCAUGAUAUAGAAGAAGUUACUUAUUUUAAUGGUAGUCACUGUACAUAGUUUUUUUGAUAGCUUACAGCAUUUACAUAUUUCCAGAAUUCAAAAGAUAGCAAAAUAAUUAAACCAACUCUUUCAUCUGAAAACAAUAAGUUUUCUGGUUUCUUAACUAAAGACUCAAUAUUAAGUUACUACAGUACGACGAAUUUCGUGUAUUAAAAUACAAAAAUUGUUACAAAUUGUAUUUUGAUAAAAUACAAGUGAUUUGACCUUCAUGUAAUUGCAAAAUUGUAAAAAUCUUCUGAUAAAUGAUCUGAAUAUUUGAAGACGAGGGGUCACGUGGCUUGAAACCUAGUCUUCGAUAAUUUUUUGAAAAUUUGAUUUUUUGAGACUUGACCUAUUCAGCACUUAGAUUGCUUGGACUUGAACUUGGAUUUGAUUUGAUGUAAAGAAAACUUUGAUCUUCUUGAAUUUGGUGUGAACCUGUUUUGUUCAAAGAAGAUUUUGAUUUUCUUAGGGUUCAAAAGAUUUGGGUUUGAGAGGAUUUAUUCUCUUCCUUCGACGUUGAAAUUUUUUCAGUACUUCGUAAUUGUCUUCUAUGCUUUCACUUCUUCUUGAUUUUCUUCUCCCUCCUCCCCUUAUGGAUAAUUGGUCCUAUUUAUAGGGGAAUUUCCGUGCUAAUUUUGGUAAUACUAAAUUAUAUUUAAUUAAAAUGAAUAAUUGAGUAAUUUAUUAUUUUAUUUAUUUAUUUAAAAUGUGAUAUCGGCUUUUCGGUUUUAUGGACUAUAGUAGGCUUCAAUUUAAUUGGCAAAUGAUUUAAAUUGAUCCAAUCCAUUUUUUAAAAAUUUUUUUAUAUCAACAAAUGUCCCCUCAAGAUUUAUUUAUUUAUUAUGAAAUAAAUAAAUAAAUCAUAAUAAAUAAAUAAAUCUUGAUUUUCGAUUUUUUUUUCGCCUAUUUAUUUGAGUGAAUUAUGAGAUUUGAAAACAGGUUUGUUAAAUCUAGCAAACAGAGGUAAAUAAAUGUUUUUCCUUCCCCUCCCCCCUCCCUCUUGUUUGUAUUUUUUUUAUCCUUCUCUUGGUUUCAUCGUUGACCCUUUAUUAUUUUUUUAAUAUUUCUCGAUUUCUGCAGCCAGCGGAAAAAAAAUGGCGGCGGAAACCAUUGAUUUGGAAUUGGUUUAGGAAUUGGAAUUAUUAUCUCCUUUGUAUAUUUUUAUUUUUAAAUUUUUUUUAAUUAUUAAUUAGCUUUCUUGGUUUCUGUAAAACCAAACAAUUGUGGGCAGAAACCAAAAAACCAUGGUUUCUACCAAAUUUUUUUUCUUCUUUUUCCCCUUUAUUUAUUUUUUCAAUUUCUUUCUUUUUAUUUCUUUUUAGUUCUUUUCUUCUUCAUUUUUUUUUAUAGAAUGUCUUUUUAUUUUGGGUUGAAUUUUGAUUUUUGUUUUAUUUUUUCUUAGUGUGGGUAUUUUAUUGAAGUCGAAACUAACAUUCUUCAUUUUUUUUUUCAAGAACUCAACUUUUGAAGUAAGCCGAGAAUUUUGAGGUUUGAGGGUUUUGUGUGUGUGUGUGGAAAUUAAAUUUUUGUGCUGCAACUACUUUAGAAGUUGGAAAAUAUAUGCUUAUGAACAAACUUAAAAUUACAAACCUUUUCAUAUGAAUUGAGGACCAAGGACUCUCACUUUUCACCAUCUAAUGCACUUUUUGUUUAGGACUAAGAAUCUGUUCCUUCGACUGUCCAAGACAUUUUGUGUUGAGGAACAAAGACUUGUUCGUUCGAUCAUCCAAUGCGCUUUAUGUUGAGGAUCAAGGAUUGGCUCCUUCGAUUGUCCAUGGCGUUGAGGACCAAGAACCAGCUUCUUCGACCAUUCAAGACAUUUUGUGUUGAGUACUAAGGACUUGCUUCUUCAACCGUCCGAGGGACUUUGUGUUGAGGACCGUCCAAGGCACUUUGUAUUUAGGACCAAGGGCUGGCUCCUUCGACUGUCCAAGGCACUUUGUGUUUGGGACAUUUACAUAUUUGGAAGGCUCGUAAUUUUAGAUGAUAAUGAAUUUAAGAGAUUUACUACCCCUUUUUAUUUGCUUUCUUUUUUCUUUUGCAUGAUAGGAAUAAGUUCCAAUGAUAAAGUAUACUCUAACAUACACGAAAUUAUUGAGCUUAAAAAUUAAGGCAAAAGUUAUUUGCGUUUCAAAGAUACCAAUUUGAAGUACCAUGCCUAGACUUGCCAACGAAUGAUCCUUCUCCUGACCUCCUGAGCCAUUGUUGGAGUUGUAUAUGCCUACCAUUAGUGAAUGUCACGAAAGUUUGGAUAUUGGCAAGUGCAACCACUUCCGCAGAGCAUGGAGUGCAUCCCAAAGGCUGAANUUGGUUGUACCCUCAUUUCAUUCGUCUUUUCCCCAAUAGGCCAAG
rnacentral:lncRNA from 1 species